CUUGAGCUGAACUUGUAAUGUUGUGACACAGUAACAGUAAGAGAUAGUUAAUAUAUAAUUGUGACAUACUAACUAUGUAUUUAUUGUUCUUUUGAUGAUCAGCUGUGAAUAGUUGUGGUCUGGAGAUCUGGGCUGUCAUCAGAAGCCACCAAGUCCCAUCAAGUUCUGCAACCAACUUACUUGAGCUAAUUGAAGAAACUGAGAGGAGAAGAGUUAACUCACGUCAAUUCUGGAUUUGCUCUGGGUGAUUUACCAGUCCCUAAGGGAGCCAGAGCCAGGAUCUGGAGCUGACACCUUUAUAUGGAGCAGGAGAUGCUUCGAGCAGCCAGCGUGUUUCUCUUUUAGCUUUCUUAUGGUCUGAAAAUACACUUGGGUAUAUUAAUAGGAACCUGUUAGAGCCCACAGUUUGACAUCCCGCUGAUGUGCAGCCCUUCCUGAGAAUCACUGCUUCCCAUUGAUUGCUCAGCACCAUGAGGCAGUUGCUUGAAAGAAUGAAUUGGUCUUAAUGUACAUAAGUUCUGUGAAUUUAGACAUACACAUUUAACUCCCUUGGAACAAGCAUCAGGACAAGAGUCUUUAUGUACUCUAGGUGGUCAGAGCACACUGUCUCAGUUAUUUGUGGUAUCUCAGGAGAUCUCUGUUGUACUCGCUGGAACCAAGUGUGGAAAGGAGGCAAAAAGCCAAGUGGCAGGAUAUCUGCUGAGAAAGCUGAGAAGAUGAGUGUCUCGCAGGAGAAAAUGGAAGACAGCAGAUCUCACAUGACAUCCAAAGAAUACAAGCUACAAAAGGAUCAGCAUCUCGUAGAGAAUUCUAAGAUGUUACAAGACAUUACAAGAGGCAGCUUCCUUAGUUAG
rnacentral:lncRNA from 1 species